GAUGAACGCUGGCGGCGUGCCUAAUACAUGCAAGUCGAGCGAACGGACGAGAAGCUUGCUUCUCUGAUGUUAGCGGCGGACGGGUGAGUAACACGUGGAUAACCUACCUAUAAGACUGGGAUAACUUCGGGAAACCGGAGCUAAUACCGGAUAAUAUUUUGAACCGCAUGGUUCAAAAGUGAAAGACGGUCUUGCUGUCACUUAUAGAUGGAUCCGCGCUGCAUUAGCUAGUUGGUAAGGUAACGGCUUACCAAGGCAACGAUGCAUAGCCGACCUGAGAGGGUGAUCGGCCACACUGGAACUGAGACACGGUCCAGACUCCUACGGGAGGCAGCAGUAGGGAAUCUUCCGCAAUGGGCGAAAGCCUGACGGAGCAACGCCGCGUGAGUGAUGAAGGUCUUCGGAUCGUAAAACUCUGUUAUUAGGGAAGAACAUAUGUGUAAGUAACUGUGCACAUCUUGACGGUACCUAAUCAGAAAGCCACGGCUAACUACGUGCCAGCAGCCGCGGUAAUACGUAGGUGGCAAGCGUUAUCCGGAAAUAUUGGGCGUAAAGCGCGCGUAGGCGGUUUUUUAAGUCUGAUGUGAAAGCCCACGGCUCAACCGUGGAGGGUCAUUGGAAACUGGAAAACUUGAGUGCAGAAGAGGAAAGUGGAAUUCCAUGUGUAGCGGUGAAAUGCGCAGAGAUAUGGAGGAACACCAGUGGCGAAGGCGACUUUCUGGUCUGUAACUGACGCUGAUGUGCGAAAGCGUGGGGAUCAAACAGGAUUAGAUACCCUGGUAGUCCACGCCGUAAACGAUGAGUGCUAAGUGUUAGGGGGUUUCCGCCCCUUAGUGCUGCAGCUAACGCAUUAAGCACUCCGCCUGGGGAGUACGACCGCAAGGUUGAAACUCAAAGGAAUUGACGGGGACCCGCACAAGCGGUGGAGCAUGUGGUUUAAUUCGAAGCAACGCGAAGAACCUUACCAAAUCUUGACAUCCUUUGACAACUCUAGAGAUAGAGCCUUCCCCUUCGGGGGACAAAGUGACAGGUGGUGCAUGGUUGUCGUCAGCUCGUGUCGUGAGAUGUUGGGUUAAGUCCCGCAACGAGCGCAACCCUUAAGCUUAGUUGCCAUCAUUAAGUUGGGCACUCUAAGUUGACUGCCGGUGACAAACCGGAGGAAGGUGGGGAUGACGUCAAAUCAUCAUGCCCCUUAUGAUUUGGGCUACACACGUGCUACAAUGGACAAUACAAAGGGCAGCGAAACCGCGAGGUCAAGCAAAUCCCAUAAAGUUGUUCUCAGUUCGGAUUGUAGUCUGCAACUCGACUACAUGAAGCUGGAAUCGCUAGUAAUCGUAGAUCAGCAUGCUACGGUGAAUACGUUCCCGGGUCU
rnacentral:rRNA from 1 species